rnacentral:rRNA from 1 species
UUGCCUCAGUAACGGCGAGUGAAGCGGCAAUAGCUCAAAUUUGAAAUCUGGCUUUUUCAGAGUCCGAGUUGUAAUUUGUAGAGGAUGCUUCGGCUUACGUCUCGGUCUAAGUUCCUUGGAACAGGACGUCACAGAGGGUGAGAAUCCCGUUUGUGGCCGCGACUUCCGCCAUGUGAAGCUCCUUCGACGAGUCGAGUUGUUUGGGAAUGCAGCUCUAAAUGGGAGGUAUAUUUCUUCUAAAGCUAAAUACCGGCCAGAGACCGAUAGCGCACAAGUAGAGUGAUCGAAAGAUGAAAAGCACUUUGGAAAGAGAGUUAAAAAGUACGUGAAAUUGUUGAAAGGGAAGCGCUUGCGACCAGACUUGCCCGCGGAUGCUCAACCGGUCCUUCGGCCGGUGCACUCUUCCGCGGUCAGGCCAGCAUCAGUUCGAGCGGUCGGAUAAAGGCCUUGGGAAUGUGGCUCUCUUCGGGGAGUGUUAUAGCCCUUGGUGUAAUACGGCCCGCUUGGACUGAGGCCCGCGCUUCGGCUAGGAUGCUGGCGUAAUGGUCGUAAGCGGCCCGUCUUGAAACACGGACCAAGGAGUCUAACAUCUAUGCGAGUGUUUGGGUGUCAAACCCGUGCGCGAAAUGAAAGUGAACGGAGGUGGGAACCCUUUGGGUGCACCAUCGACCGAUCCUGAUGUCUUCGGAUGGAUUUGAGUAAGAGCAUAGCUGUUGGGACCCGAAAGAUGGUGAACUAUGCCUGAAUAGGGUGAAGCCAGAGGAAACUCUGGUGGAGGCUCGCAGCGGUUCUGACGUGCAAAUCGAUCGUCAAAUUUGGGUAUAGGGGCGAAAGACUAAUCGAACCAUCUAGUAGCUGG